AUCCAGCUGACUAGUCCCAAAUAGGACAGAACACGUGUCAUGGAU
rfam:Schistosoma mansoni, Puerto Rico, WGS project CABG01000000 data, contig: 0010